rnacentral:rRNA from 1 species
UGGGGAAUAUUGCACAAUGGGCGCAAGCCUGAUGCAGCCAUGCCGCGUGUGUGAAGAAGGCCUUCGGGUUGUAAAGCACUUUCAGCGGGGAGGAAGGCGUUAAGGUUAAUAACCUUGGCGAUUGACGUUACCCGCAGAAGAAGCACCGGCUAACUCCGUGCCAGCAGCCGCGGUAAUACGGAGGGUGCAAGCGUUAAUCGGAAUUACUGGGCGUAAAGCGCACGCAGGCGGUCUGUCAAGUCGGAUGUGAAAAUGCAGGGCUCAACUCUGUAUUGCGUUGGAAACUGUAUAACUAGAGUACUGGAAAGGUAAGCGGAACUACAAGUGUAGAGGUGAAAUUCGUAGAUAUUUGUAGGAAUGCCGAUGGGGAAGCCAGCUUACUGGACAGAUACUGACGCUAAAGCGCGAAAGCGUGGGUAGCAAACAGG